rnacentral:rRNA from 1 species
UACAGAGGUCUCAAGCGUUUUGUUCGGAUUCAUUGGGCGUAAAGGGUGCGUAGGCGGCGCGGUAAGUCGGGUGUGAAAUCUUGGAGCUUAACUCGGAACGGUCAAGUGAUACUGCUGUGCUAGAGUGCGGAAGGGGCAACUGGAAUUCUUGGUGUAGCGGUGAAAUGCGUAGAUAUCAAGAGGAACACCUGCGGCGAAGGCGGGUUGCUGGGCCGACACUGACGCUGGAGGCGCGAAAAGCUAGGGGAGCGAACGGG